rfam:Otolemur garnettii contig176878, whole genome shotgun sequence.
UUGCUUCAGCAGCACAUAUAACUAAAGUAGAAAGACACAGAGAAGAUCAGCAUGGCCCCUGCAUAAGGAUGACACACAAAUUCAUAAAGCAUUCCAUAUUUUU